rnacentral:lncRNA from 1 species
ACGUCAAACUGUAGGGGCAUCAUCUUGCUCUUACAAAACCCUGCCAAGGAUUGCAGAAUUUUUCCCUUGGUGGAACAACACAAUAACAAACAUGCAGAAAAUUUUUUAAAAUGGUUAUCAAAUAUAUCAGACCAAAACCCAUGACGGCAGCACCUUCGGAGCAAAAAUUGCGAAAAUGUGUCCUUAUUACGAUCAGUUGAGGGAAAUAUUUGGAAAGCGGUUACCGGCCAUGCAACCGUUACUGGUUGAAAGUAACUUUCCUUCGCCUGAGCUGUGUCCAGCUAGUCCUGCACCAGAGUUCGCAGUAUAAUUCUCGGAAAAGGAAUGUGUACCUGCUGCGCCAUCAAAUGCCGCACCCUUGUUCGCAUCAAUUCCCACAUAGGUAUCAACAUACCAACGGUCGAUUCGGCCACCGAAAUCAUCCGUUGGACAAUUAGUUAGUUAGACAAUUGCAAUGUAAGCGAAGAAGCUGGUAUUUAACAUAUAUAAAUUCAAAGAAAAGAUAAAGAUAUAUAAAUUCGAAGAAAAUUAAGGAACGGAAA